rnacentral:rRNA from 1 species
UGACCUCAAAUCAGGUAGGACUACCCGCUGAACUUAAGCAUAUCAAUAAGCGGAGGAAAAGAAACUAACAAGGAUUCCCCUAGUAACUGCGAGUGAAGCGGGAAAAGCUCAAAUUUUGAAUCUGACGGUCAUUCGGCCGUCCGAGUUGUAAUCUAGAGAAGCGUCUUCCGCGCUGGACCGUGUAUAAGUCUCCUGGAAGGGAGCGUCAUAGAGGGUGAGAAUCCCGUCUUUGACACGGACUACCAGUGUAUGUGAUGCGCUCUGAGAGUCGAGUUGUUUGGGAAUGC